rnacentral:rRNA from 1 species
UACGUAGGGUGCAAGCGUUAAUCGGAAUUACUGGGCGUAAAGCGUGCGCAGGCGGCUUUGCAAGACAGAUGUGAAAUCCCCGGGCUUAACCUGGGAACUGCAUUUGUGACUGCAUGGCUGGAGUGCGGCAGAGGGGGAUGGAAUUCCGCGUGUAGCAGUGAAAUGCGUAGAGAUGUGGAGGAAUACCGAUGGCGAAGGCAGCCCCCUGGGAUAACACUGACGCUCAUGCACGAAAGCGUGGGGAGCAAACA